rnacentral:rRNA from 1 species
UACAGAGGUCUCAACCGUUGUUCGGAUUCAUUGGGUUUAAAGGGUGCGUAGGCGGGCAGGUAAGUCCGUGGUGAAAUCUCUGAGCUUAACUCAGAAACUGCCAUGGAUACUAUUUGUCUUGAAUAUUGUGGAGGUAAGCGGAAUAUGUCAUGUAGCGGUGAAAUGCUUAGAUAUGACAUAGAACACCAAUUGCGAAGGCAGCUUACUACACAGUUAUUGACGCUGAGGCACGAAAGCGUGGGGAUCAAACAGG